AACGAACGCUGGCGGCAGGCCUAACACAUGCAAGUCGAGCGAACCCUUCGGGGUUAGCGGCGGACGGGUUAGUAACGCGUGGGAAUAUACCCUUUGGUACGGAAUAGCCUCGGGAAACUGAGAGUAAUACCGUAUGUGCCCUUCGGGGAAAGAUUUAUCGCCAAAGGAUUAGCCCGCGUUGGAUUAGAUAGUUGGUGGGGUAAUGGCCUACCAAGUCUACGAUCCAUAGCUGGUUUGAGAGGAUGAUCAGCAACACUGGGACUGAGACACGGCCCAGACUCCUACGGGAGGCAGCAGUGGGGAAUCUUAGACAAUGGGCGCAAGCCUGAUCUAGCCAUGCCGCGUGGACGAUGAAGGCCUUAGGGUUGUAAAGUCCUUUCAGAUGGGAAGAUAAUGACGGUACCAUCAGAAGAAGCCCGGCUAACUCCGUGCCAGCAGCCGCGGUAAAGUAUCG
rnacentral:rRNA from 1 species